CGAGUGGCGAACGGGUGAGUAAUACAUCGGAACGUGCCCGAGAGUGGGGGAUAACGCAGCGAAAGCUUUGCUAAUACCGCAUACGAUCUACGGAUGAAAGCAGGGGACCGCAAGGCCUUGCGCUCAUGGAGCGGCCGAUGGCAGAUUAGGUAGUUGGUGGGUAAAAGCUACCAAGCCUUCGAUCUGUAGCUGGUCUGAGAGGAUGAUCAG
rnacentral:rRNA from 1 species